GAGUUUGAUCAUGGCUCAGGAUGAACGCUGGCGGCGUGCCUAACACAUGCAAGUCGAACGAAGCAUAUAGAAGGAAGUUUUCGGAUGGAAUUUUAUAUGACUUAGUGGCGGACGGGUGAGUAACGCGUGGAUAAUCUGCCUUACACAGCGGGAUAACAAAUGGAAACAGUUGCUAAUACCGCAUAAGCACACAGUAUCGCAUGAUACAGGGUGAAAAGAUUUAUCGGUGUAAGAUGAGUCCGCGUCCCAUUAGCUGGUUGGUGAGGUAAAAGCUUACCAAGGCGACGAUGGGUAGCCGGCCUGAGAGGGUGAACGGCCACAUUGGGACUGAGACACGGCCCAGACUCCUACGGGAGGCAGCAGUGGGGGAUAUUGCACAAUGGGCGAAAGCCUGAUGCAGCGACGCCGCGUGAAGGAAGAAGUAUUUCGGUAUGUAAACUUCUAUCAGCAGGGAAGAAAAUGACG
rnacentral:rRNA from 1 species